rfam:Ornithorhynchus anatinus chromosome 3, whole genome shotgun sequence.
CCCCUCUCAGGAUCAAACCUGGAGAGUUUCCAGUACUCUACCAGUUUCGGUUAUAAGGGGGAGAAUCAAGCAGAGGCAUACACAUUCCGUUCCUACCUUGGCCAGUGGCUAGCGAGUGGAAGGCAAUUUGCUACAAGU